UUCAGGGAGUUACCCCAGAGUGCAGUCUGGACGAUGGGGCGGGGCGACACUUCGAGGCGGAGCGACACGUGUCGCCCCGCCCAUAUUUGUUUUCCCCGCCUUUGACAUUUUCCUCCGAGCCAGCAGGGGGCAGUUUGCGUUGAAACAAACAGAACGGUGGCAACUACAGCAGCAGAGUAAUAACGCUAUUCCGUUGAUUGCUUGAGGUGAGUAAAAGUGGUUGUGUAAAUAUCUUAUAAUAUGAAAUGCGAUGUUCGAUCAUUUAUUUAUCCAUGGUACGUUCAAUUUGAAUAAUUAUUGUUAAUAAUUGUUAUAAAUUGCUCAUUUUAUUGUUCUUUGUGGAUUGUAACAGUACACUCUGUACAUGGCUUUAGUUCAUAGGUUCGAUUUUACAGAGGAUGACAUGAUCAGGAGGUGGUGGUGUUCUGUUCUCCUGGACAGCUUUACUCCGCAAAUAGCUCAACCACUGAGGAGAACUUCACCAUUCACCAUGUCUUCAGGCAGAGUCCAGCAAAGCAGCUUCCACUGGAAAUCCUCAGGGAAGUUAUUUUGUCGGCGGGUGACUCUGCAUAUUUGACACUUUCUCUGGUUUGCAGAUGGUUUAGGGUUGUGCUCCGAAGUUUUUCGGAAAGCGGCACAGUUUGCCUGGCUAGAGAUUGUGGCCAACUGGAAGAAUUGUCCUCCUGUCUUCUGACCGGAACGAUAUCAGACGGAUGUACAGCAUCAGGGAACGCUUGCAGUGCAGAGCCCUUUUCAAGUUUAACCCACCAGGGUACAGGGAAGAGACCGGCGUGGUGAUCUUCUGGGCUUUUGUUUACACAGGAUUUUGUUCCAAGGACUUUUUUUUUUUUUUUUUUUUGCGGCAUGAAACACAUUUGUGUGUUAAGUUCAUUGAAGGGAAAUAACUGGUUUUGAUUAUUAAUUGAUGUAAUUUAAAGUUAAACUUUGCACUGUAUAAUGUUUUAAUAAAAAAGCUAUGGAAAACACGUGCAU